rnacentral:rRNA from 2 species
UACGGGGGGUGCAAGCGUUGUUCGGAAUCAUUGGGCGUAAAGAGCGUGUAGGCGGCCGCGUAUGUCAGAUGUGAAAGUCCUGGGCUCAGCCUGGGAAGUGCAUUUGAAACUGCGUGGCUAGAGUAAGGGAGAGGAAAGUGAAAUUCCUGGUGUAGAGGUGAAAUUCGCAGAUAUCAGGAGGAACACCUGUGGCGAAGGCGGCUUUCUGGCCCUAUACUGACGCUGAGACGCGAAAGCGUGGGUAGAAACA